GCAGCCAGCCAGCCACAGAUGAAGAGGAAGGAGCCCAUUGCCCAGCUUUGUCUAGCGGCUUACAUUUGCCAAGGCGGAGCAUCGAUCCCACUGAGAUGUUCAGCAGAAUUCUGGGGAGCAAGGAUCGACUGCGACUGCACAGCAGUCAAGAAGGGAAUAUGAGGAUGUGCAGCUAUCAGCAGAGCCCACCUGAGCCCAGCCCAGCCCAGCAGAGGAUCCAGUGAUCUAACACCUCUAACAAACCACUUUAACAAACUUCCAACAAAUAACUCUAACAAUCUUCCAUCAAAUAACUCUAACACGUACAACAAAUAACUCUAACAAACUUCCAACGAAUAACUCUAACAAACUUCCAACAAAUCAUCCUAACAAACUUCCAACAAAUCAUCGUAACCAACCAGUAACAAAUCAUCCUAACAAACUAAAACUACUAACAGUCUGCUUAAUGUUGUGUGACGCGUCUAGUGUGUUGGUGUUAGUGUCUGUGUGCUUGUCACCUCUCGCUUUCAGCCAUCACCGCUGGCUAGCAGCAAUGCGAAAAGGGAGGGAAUUUUUAUGUCUUCCCCUGCCAGUACAUAGCCUCUCCACAAUAAGUCCUAUGCGAUGCCUCCACGUGGAAGCAGACGGAUACUGGGCAGCUUUUGGUCCCAGGCUAAGUUCGCAAGGGCGCACAGGAAGAUGAAUCUUGAUAG